rnacentral:rRNA from 1 species
UAGUUGGUAAGGUAACGGCUUACCAAGGCGACGAUACGUACCCGACCUGAGAGGGUGCUCGGCCACACUGGAACUGAGACACGGUCCAGACUCCUACGGGAGGCAGCAGUAGGGAAUCUUCCGCAAUGGGCGAAAGCCUGACGGAGCAACNCCGCGUGAGUGAUGAAGGUCUUCGGAUCGUAAUACUCUGUUNUCAGGGAAGAACAAACGUGUAAGUAACUGUNCACGUCUUGACGGUACCUGAUCAGAAAGCCACCCUAAUCAGGAAGCCACGGCUA